UUCCUGGUGGCUCAGAGGGUAGAGCGUCUGUCUACAAUGCAGGAGACCUGGGUUCGAUCCCUGGGUUGGGAA
rnacentral:tRNA from 1 species